rnacentral:misc_RNA from 1 species
CUUUUUGUGCAUAAUGUAUAUAUAGGGGGGUGGUAGUACUCUUGGGGUAGAGAGGCAUGUGCUGGGAUGGCAUGCCAAGGCAUGUGCUGGGAUGGCAUGCCUUGGUGUGUGCUGGGAUGGCAUGCCAAGGACAAGCAUGUGCUAGGAAGGCAUGCCAAGGCCAAGCCAAGGCCAAGGCAAGCACAUGCAUUGUGAGCUAGUUGAGACGGUUGUCUUUACCCCAAGAGUGCCCAAGGGAGAGGAAAGAGGUGUCAAACGCAUGCUGAGCCCCACUUCGGUAGUUUGGCACCCCCAUAGGCAUUCAGGCAAGCGUGCCUAUGGGGAAGGUCGGUUGAGCUUGUCAGCCAUGUUGGGUACUAUUGUUUGGACGAGAUGAUGGCACACGCAUGCUUGCUUUAAGGUAACGUUCAGGCAGCACAGCCAGCCCGCAAUUGCUAGUUCAAGCGGGUGGAAUCUGCCUAUAGGGGUGUUGCUUGCUUGCUGUGGAUUUGGGACACGCCCAAUAUCUAUCAUCGACCCAACGGACUUCUCAACAUGGGUUGCUGAGGGCUAUUUUUGGCACUGAUGGUUCACUUGUUUGCUUGGCUCUGAUAAACGUUCAGAUGUCAUGAUGCUUGGGAUCCAAUAAAUUUAUGUGGGAAGCUGAGAGCUGGAACCCAAUGUCAUUCACCAGACGGCUUAGCUUCGUUAGUGUGUAUAAUAUGUCAUUGAACCCCAAUCCUUGAUGCCAACCUGAUUAAGACUUUUGGAUCGCAAUUAUCAUGGCUAUCGAAAACUGAGUAGGAGUCAUGGAAUAAGUGAACAAUUUGUAGCCUUUAUAGCUGUCAGCUUUCGCAUCGCCCGGUGUGUUUUGGGAAUCGUUUUGUGCAUUUGGUUGCCUGCCGUGCCUCUUGGCAUACGGUGGGUGCCACUUGCCGGGUGGUUUUCGGAAACAUCCACCGUAAAGGUGCAUGAGUGGUGUUUGGUUUGUUACGGGUGGUUGGCUCUUUGCUUGCGCAACAACUUCCACCCGACUUACCUCUUCAGAUGUUUGCCUAGGCUUGUAUAGCCUAAGCAGAUUGUGGGUUUCCUGUGUUGCCUACCUACGUCACGGAAUUGUCCCGAUCGAUCAAAGUUGCUUUCGUCUUGUGUCGUCUUGAUGGCAUAAGAUGAACCAUGAAGCUGUCUCUUUGCACCGCAUCGUUAAUGCAUGCGUUGAUGUUGUGGCCCAUUGAGCAUUGCUUGGUACCUUGGAUACGGAACCUUAUGUGGGCAUGGGUCCUUGGGGAUCCUUGUUCUGCCCUCGUUUAGCGUUCGCGCUUCUCUUAUAAUGACUGCCUAGCUGCAAUGGCAACCCAUUGUGGAUGGGCAUUGUCAAAGAGGAAUGC